GUGGAUCGGGCUGCGACUGCGGCUGCGGGUGAAGAGGCUGCUCCAGGAUGACACGCUGGUGGACCGACUGGUAGAGGAAGGACUAGGUCGGAAGUAAGGGAUGGGUCGCUUCCUGGCACUGCAGAGAACCAAAACGUCAUCAUCAUCAGGCAGCGGUUUCCAGUGAAAAAGCUCUGCUACACAAAGAUGUCACAGCCAACAAAACAAAUGUGUAUUUCCAGCAGGCACAGAGCAACAUUAGUGUUUACUUGGAGCCAUUGAUUGAUUUGGACACCUGGUGAAUUUAUCCAGUAUUUGCUCUCCUUCAACCUCUUUUUUGGUCUCCAUCGACUCCUAAGAGAAAUAUCUUGCUUUUUAGCUGCUAAAUGCUCCACUCUGUUCACUCUGUCUGUCUGCAGUGUACAGAGCUUCAUCCAGGAAAAGGCCUCACUGACAGUUGAGGGUAGUAAAACCAAAACAAAUGUCUGAAAGACACUAAAGUGCUCCACACAGUUUCACUCAUCAGUUCAUUGUGGGUUUGUCACUAUGAGUACCACAGUCACAAAUAAUGUACAAGUAUUGAAUGGUGCAACUUUAAAAGAAUAGAGAUUAGUGGAACAAUAUCUUUAAAAAAAAACUGUUAUUAUAAUCUCUCUGUGUCCUUUUGUGCAUCUUUCUUGGUGUAUAUCAUUUGUCUUUUUCUUUCAUUUUCAGUGUGAAAUGAAAAAAAGAGUAAAGCUGACUAUGUGGCAGACAA